UCUCCGUAGGUGAACCUGCGGAGGGAUCAUUACAGAGUUCUUGACCUACCGGGUAGAUCUGCCACCCUAUGUUAUUAUUACUUUGUUGCUUUGGCGGGCCGUUAGGCUCCGGCCCGUCUACCGGCCCCGGCUGGUACGCGCCCGCCCGACGGCCCAAAACCCUGAAUCUUAGAGUCGUCUGAAUAAUAGAUCAUAGUUAAAAAUUUCAACAACAGAACGCUUGGGUCUGGCAGCGAUGAAGAACGCAGCAGAUCGGAAGACCACAAGUCCGAACUCCCG
rnacentral:misc_RNA from 1 species